rnacentral:rRNA from 1 species
AACGAACGCUGGCGGCAUGCCUAACACAUGCAAGUCGAACGAAGGCUUCGGCCUUAGUGGCGCACGGGUGCGUAACGCGUGGGAAUCUGCCCUUUGGUUCGGAAUAACAGCUGGAAACGGCUGCUAAUACCGGAUGAUGACGAAAGUCCAAAGAUUUAUCGCCAGAGGAUGAGCCCGCGUUGGAUUAGGUAGUUAGUGGGGUAAAGGCCUACCAAGCCGACGAUCCAUAGCUGGUCUGAGAGGAUGAUCAGCCACACUGGGACUGAGACACGGCCCAGACUCCUACGGGAGGCAGCAGUGGGGAAUAUUGGACAAUGGGCGCAAGCCUGAUCCAGCAAUGCCGCGUGAGUGAUGAAGGCCCUAGGGUUGUAAAGCUCUUUUACCCGGGAAGAUAAUGACUGUACCGGGAGAAUAAGCCCCGGCUAACUCCGUG